rnacentral:rRNA from 1 species
UACGAAGGGGGCUAGCGUUGUCCGGAAUCAUUGGGCGUAAAGAGCGUGUAGGCGGCCAGAUAAGUCCGCUGUGAAAUCUCGAGGCUCAACUUCGAGCUGUCGGUGGAAACUGUCUGGCUAGAGUCCGGAAGAGGAGAAUGGAAUUCCUGGUGUAGCGGUGAAAUGCGCAGAUAUCAGGAAGAACACCCGUGGCGAAGGCGGUUCUCUGGGACGGUACUGACGCUGAGACGCGAAAGCGUGGGGAGCGAACAGG